rnacentral:lncRNA from 1 species
UGAAGUACCAUGGAAUCCUUAAUGGCAGUAUUUAUUCAAAACCUGUGUCAGUGAGAAAAAAUAUUUGGUUUCCCAGAGGCUGUGCUGGAGGAGGAAGAAUUCCGGGAAACCACAAUUGGGCUUAAGCAUCUCCCGUCCAAACAGCUGGGGAGCCAUCGGUUUCCAUGUCUGUCGGGUAACUGGAUGACAUCACAGCUAAAUCUGGGGUAACUGCACCCGGGCACUUUCUGCUUCGAGGGAGAGAUUCUCACCAUUUCUUACCUUCAGGAAAGACACCCAUUGCAUAUCUGAGAAUUUAGAGGGUACGUUAUGCCCCACACCAAGCUAGACUAUUAGGCCUUGGGAAGUUGAUUUAGGCUACAUGGGACUUAUUUUAAGAUUCUGAAGUCAUUACCACUGCACUCUAUCUUCUGAGUAAUGUGCCUGUCUUGUAGACUCUCGGGAGGAAAUGCUUCACUCCAGCUUUAUUUAGGUCAUUACCGCAAGGCUGAGGCGAAGGCCACGUGUGAGGUCACUGACUGGCUGCUGCCAAGGGCAGGUUUAUGACACGCAGUGGAUGCCUUCCCAGCAGCCCCCGCCCACACGCUGGCUGAUGCACGUGUCCGGUGCCCGCACAAUGAUGGUUUUUUAGCCAACAAGGUGCUUCGCUGUUAAGUGGUGGAGGCUCAGGGAACAGGAGCUGCACGAACGCACAGACGAGGUUUCAUCAUGUUGCCCAGGCUGGUCUGGAACUCCUGAGCUCAAGCAAUCCACCUGCCUUGGUCUCCCAAAGUGUUGGGGCUACAGGCGUGAGCGACUGCGCCCAACCCUCUUCCAUCAUUUUCAGGGAAGGAUCAGGGGUCAGCUGUUCGCGUCUAGGUAUGAACGAGCUUAUCACUGGAUCACCUGUCUCGGGAGGAAGACUUGCCCUGGGGAUGUAGGAACAAGGACUAACCUGCUCAGUGCCUCCUAGUAGCCCCACUUUACCUAGUGUGUCAGUUCCUCACAGGCAGAUAAACUGAAGCCCACGAAGCGUCAUCACCUGAGGUUGCAGAGUUGAUGAGCAAAGGUCUCAGCCCCGGUGGACUAAGAUCCUGGCUUCCCGCUGGGACUCAACAGCCCCCCUGGCAGUUAUUCCAAUACCUCCUCAGUGUUGGAGGCUUUUACAGAAACUCCUUGCCUCUGUCACUCACUCAGC